UACAAUCUUACAAACACAACCUUUCUUGAUAAAACUCUAAACCCACUCUCUUACAAUCUCAAGCGUCAAUAUUUUCCUUUGUCCGGAAGUUUAUUGUCUAUUGUUUGAGCGUAGACAACGCAUUAUAGUCUAACUAAGAUAUCAAUUUACAACCAUUUAAAAAGUAAUAUAAACCAUAACAUAAAGUAUUUAAUAUUUACAAGGAUUUAUCCGACACACUCCCCCCUUUGAGCCUUUAGGGUCAAACAAAACCUGCGUUCCUCAACGUGCAACCUGGGCCGCAGCCCUUCUGGGUCUCCUACUACUGCCUUCAAUACUCACCUUGUCAUUCUUAGUUAUUUCUUCUUUCCCCUUGUCUACACUCUCACACUUCUCACUGAUC